UGCUACGGCCGUGGGGCGUUGACACACCCGAUCCUUCUGACCUAGGAAGUUAAGCAACGUGCAGUCCGGACAGUACUUGAAUGGGAGACCACCAAGGAAGACUGGAUGCUGUAGCCA
rnacentral:rRNA from 1 species